GACGAACGCUGGCGGCGUGCUUAACACAUGCAAGUCGAACGAAGAGCGAUGGAAGCUUGCUUCUAUCAAUCUUAGUGGCGAACGGGUGAGUAACGCGUAAUCAACCUGCCCUUCAGAGGGGGACAACAGUUGGAAACGACUGCUAAUACCGCAUACGAUCUAAUCUCGGCAUCGAGGAUAGAUGAAAGGUGGCCUCUACAUGUAAGCUAUCACUGAAGGAGGGGAUUGCGUCUGAUUAGCUAGUUGGAGGGGUAACGGCCCACCAAGGCGAUAAUCAGUAGCCGGUCUGAGAGGAUGAACGGCCACAUUGGGACUGAGACACGGCCCAGACUCCUACGGGAGGCAGCAGUGGGGAAUCUUCCGCAAUGGACGAAAGUCUGACGGAGCAACGCCGCGUGAGUGAUGACGGCCUUCGGGUUGUAAAGCUCUGUUAAUCGGGACGAAAGGCCUUCUUGCGAAUAGUGAGAAGGAUUGACGGUACCGGAAUAGAAAGCCACGGCUAACUACGUG
rnacentral:rRNA from 1 species